GCGAAGCGGUGACGUGGAGCAAACCUCAGAAAGCCAAUCUCAGUUCGGAUUGUAGGCUGCAACUCGCCUACAUGAAGUUGGAAUCGCUAGUAAUCGCGAAUCAGAAUGUCGCGGUGAAUACGUUCCCGGGUCUUGUACACACCGCCCGUCACACCACGAGAGUUUACAACACCCGAAGUCAGUGGCCUAACCGCAGGGAGGGAGCUGCCUAAGGUGGGGUAGAUGAUUGGGGUGAAGUCGUAACAAGGUAAC
rnacentral:rRNA from 1 species